rnacentral:rRNA from 1 species
UACGUAGGUGGCAAGCGUUGUCCGGAUUUAUUGGGCGUAAAGCGCCCGCAGGCGGCUUGAUAAGUUUCAGGUGAAAUCUCCCGGCUCAACCGGGAGGGUGCCUGGAAAACUAUCAGGCUUGAGUCAUGGAGAGGGAUGUGGAAUUCCCGGUGUAGUGGUGAAAUGCGUAGAUAUCGGGAGGAACACCAGUGGCGAAGGCGGCAUCCUGGCCUGUUUCUUGACGCUGAGGCGCGAAAGCUAGGGGAGCAAACGGG